UCUGAAAGAUUUACUGUGGCUAAAUUGAAGACUUGAACUCCUUUUUGCAAAUCCAUAUCCACAUUUUCCUUCUCAGGAACACCUGAUCUACAUAGUGAGGGCAGCCGAUAAAUAUACAAGAUGAGUUCUGGAAAAAUUGAAAGUGCUAUGAAUCAGUGAACACCUUCUCCCUUUCAGCCCUGCAGGAACAGAUGGACUGGAGAAUACAAGGUCCAAAGAGGGCUUAACUAACUGGCUCAAAUGAAAGUACAAGAUGUGUGAAUGAAGGACAGUGUCCCAGGGGAUGCCAUCUACUCAUGGGACCAGAAGGCCCACGUCUCUCAAGAUCAUGAACUCUACUAGCAUCUGACUAUUGCUUAGGGGCAGGUGCAUGCAUCCUGGGUAUUGAUUUUGUGGAAAU
rnacentral:lncRNA from 1 species